GGCAGCAGAGAAGGCAGACUUGAGGGUGACCUUGUAGUCACCAGUGUCUCCCCGGGGGCCAGGGGGUCCCAUGGGGCCUGGCAGCCCCUUUGAACCUGGGAGCCCCCUGGGGCCAACCUUCCCAGGAUAUCCUGGUUCUCCUGGAUCUCCCUUCUCACCCAUGUCCUGUUCAUGCUCCACGAGUCCAGGAGGACCUUGCUCGCCCUUUGGACCAUUCUUCCCAUCUCUGCCAUUGGUGCCAGGUUGGCCUGGUGACCCCGGAAUGCCUGGGAUGGUUCCAUAAGUCUUGCAGAGCGUGGCGCUUGCCAGCUGCCCUCCAGCAAGGCAGAUCAACACCACCCACAC
rnacentral:lncRNA from 1 species